rnacentral:lncRNA from 11 species
CUCAUAUAACCCAGUUCAAAGCAGCUAUUGUGGGUUAUUCUGCCUUGAUAUUCUGGGUUAUAUGGCUGUGUGGAAGGGCCCUAGGACUCCGGGUGAUGAAAAUUCAAAUUGCUGCUUGACACAGAAACCUAUUGGGUGUCUUGGGGUCUACGGCAGUUAUUCCCAUCAAGAGGCUACAAUAGAUGUGCUGAAAAGUGGCGGAGUGGAGUAAUACCUAAAGUGCUUUUACGCACACUGCCAAAGUUUUCAG